GUUCUUGUAGUUAAAGUUCAGUUUAACGGUGAUUUUUCAGGUCACAGAUCUCGGAGAGAGGCCGGGCAGGAAUA
rnacentral:tRNA from 1 species